ensembl:lncRNA
GCACCUGGCAAGGUUCACUCUGGGGAGGCCAGGGUGGGAGGCACAGUACUGAAAAGCACCAUUCAAGCAAGUGAGCAUUUAGUGGUUGUGGUAGUAGACUCUGCCUGCUGUGAGCCAGGAAGAGAUGCCCGUGUAAACAGAUACGGCUCUAUCUGAUUGGUGAUAAGGAAAGUUGAUGUAUAUGCAGCAUGGUGACAGAUCAGUCAUUAGGUCGGUAUUUCUUAUGGAAUACUCAUAAUACAUUUAUGAGGUAGACAUAAUUAAAGCCCAUUACAAAUGAGGAAAUGGGCUCAGGAACCUCAUGGAUCUAUGGAAAGCAUUCAAAGCUCCUGGGCUCUCCACUCUUCUGGUGCCACCACACAACUGUCUCACAAAAUCAAAUGUCAGUCUGCUCAGCAAAACUCAAAUUUUCAAGGCAGCGGUGUCUGUCCAUUCACAGAUUUCCCAUUGCAUGAAGACCUGUGGCAGCUCUGAUCUGCAGGACCUGUGAGGUUGUGUGGAGUCACCAUGCCAUACAACUCUAGAGCCAUAUGAUGGGAAUGACAAAGCCCAGUAGGCUUUUGCAACACCACACCCCUGCCCAUAAAAAUCUAUCUCCAAUGAGAGCACAUGACAGGAGCCACCUGCGGAUGGAGCUGGAUUAUGAUGCCAUCCCCCAGAGACCGACCACGGAAGACCCCAUCACUGCCAGCCUAAGAAGAGUAGCUUUCCCAGGGGUAUGGCUGAUGCCAACUACACUCCACCAACCCUAUGCCACUCUCUCCAACAGCGAGCUCUCUGAGGGCCCCAACCACAAGGCCCAGAGAGCCAGCCCCAAACCCCUUUCUGAUUCUUAACAACAGAAC